CUUCUUCGAGCUGGUGUUUGGACGAACUGGUGGAAAUCUUGAAGUGCAGAGAAGUUCAGGGGCAGAUUGUGAUGCCCAUUUUCUACGAUGUUGAUCCGUCGCAUGUACGUAAACAAAGAGGUGACUUCGGGAUCGCUUUUGAGAAAACCUGUGAAGGUGAAACAGAGGAAGUGAAACAGAGAUGGGUCGAAGCUUUGACAUGUGUAGCAACCAUAGCUGGAGAACACUCUCGUAACUGGUUGGUUUUGAGCUCAAUGAACCUGCAGAAAUUCUUUUUUAAUUAUCUUUCGUUUAAGAUUUUGUUUUUUUUUCC
rnacentral:lncRNA from 1 species